ACGGCAAAAACUCGUCAAUACCACUCUAUAUGGAGAAACUGUAUCAUUAAAAUGAUAUGUUAACCAUCUAUUAUUUAUUAUACAAUAUAUUUUUGUUAUCUGUGUUAAAGAAAAUGUAAGUUGUGUUCUGUUGGAAUGGGAGAAGUUUGGUACGCUUCUUUGUGGUGUUUUGUUUCACCCACUACCUGUGAACAUGGUCGGCCUGGCAGGUUGUCUAAGCCGGCCCACCAAUGUACUGUGGGUUGUUGUGUUGGGUGGUCCUUUGUGCUACAGACGGAGAAUGUAGGGACGCCCUGGACUUCAUGUCGGUUGGUGUGUUGGUUGGUCCUCCGUGCUACAGACAGAGUUGUGAGGACGCCCUGGACUGGAUGAUAGUUGGGGUGGUGACAUGUCAGGUGUGCUACGGGGAUUCGAAGAGCGUCAGUGUGGGCCACUGAAGUCGAAACACUUCAAGCAAUAAACACCUGUUACGA